CAGCUUGAUUGGAGGUCAGGUGUUGCCAUGCCACGCCCCCUGGCAACAGGCCUGCCCUAGCGCAUGGCCUCCCUCCACAUGUCCGCCCGCUGAAACCAUCCGUGGUCAACCAUACCCAGGGAGAGAGGGGGCUGUGGGGAGAACAGAGGACAUCCAAACAACAAACCACAGAAACAUAUACAUCAAUGAAACUUCUCUUAACACAGACACCAUAAUCAUCCCAUAAUUGCGGGAGCCGAUCACCACGCGACUUGUCUGUAACAGUGGGGUUGUGCUGCUGUGUGGGCACAGAGAGCUACAGCAAUUUCUGGUGCCUGGAAAGUACCAUAGGCACAAAACCCCAAACAAAUCAAUGGAAAAACCCCACAACACUUGGUAAAGCUGUUAUCAAAAUGCAUGGCUGCUGAGAAUCUGUGGUUCUUACCACCACAUUUUUCUGUGACAGCACAAAUCAAGAAUUUCAGCUUCUGGAUCUGAUUCCUCUCAUAUCUACAUUUGGACAUACUGGUCACACUCACUUUUCCUGAGACCAGCCCAAACAGCAUCAAGAUUCCUUUGUUUCUUGGAGAUCCAGGCACAGGUUCCAGCCUCCCCUGGUUUGGCUGUCCCCACCAUCUGGCCAUGGACCACCAGGUCCUGCCAGCUCCUGCCAGCACCUCCCUCUGCUCGCAGUGUUUCCUGCACCUCCUCUGAGAUGCUGAAACAAUGAACUGUGGACAAGAUUAAACCUGGACAAUUCCUGUCCUGUGCAUGGACGUGUAACCACAGCUCUGCUGAAGACCACAGAAAUUAUCCUGGGCAUGUUCUGCCAAGAUUUUGCCUUAAGCAGAGAAAAGAUGAAAACUAGAGUGUGUUACAGCUGAAGACUGCUGUCUGCUGUGCUGUUCCCUGGGACAGAGAAGAGCCUGUGCAUAAUCACCACUGAGCAGAGAAGCAUCCCUACUGUCCAGCACAGUCAUUUUCUUCAGUGUUGGACAAGUGGAAAAAGCAAAAAAGCCAGUGAGAAUGGUCCUGUCUGGGGAGUUGCAGUCUUACAUCCCCCAUCCUCCUCUCCUUCUGCUGCUCAGAUUUACGGGGCUCCAAACCCAAGUUUCCAGAAGAGUUUUCUAGGUAGUUACAUCAGGAGCAAAAUACCCUCUCUAUCUGGUCUGGUCUCUAUCGAUUGGCUCCCCACAGGAGUGGAGGCACCAGAGCUGCAGGGGAGAGGCUGCCUGGGAAGUCAAAAGAGAGCAGAAAGCAUCAGCUGUUCCAGGAAAUAACCUGUCCUUGCACAUUUCCUCACGUUCAGGCUUCAAUAUUGUGAAUGCAAGCACUGUGAUGAGAGAAGAGGAAAAGAAAACCAUCCUUCAUUUUGCUGAGCACCAGCAGUGUGAACAAAAAUAUAAGGUGCUUCAGGGCAGGAAGAAACUGUGAAGAAAUAGGUUUUCAAAUUCCAUUUGUAUUGGAUUGUCUGAAAAUUGUCUCAAGAACCGCCUUCUGGAGACAGCUGCCGUGCUCUGAGAGACGGCAGAGAUGUGUGGGGAGAAGCUGCAUGGGUGUCUCAGGCUGGGACAGGAUUCAGGUUGCAGUUUCCUCUGAUUGUGCUCAGGUCUCAGCAGUGCCAGGUUCUCAAGGAGGACAAAGAGAGGUCAGGUGUGCAGUGGAAAGGCUCCAUGAAACUCUUCCUCCCUGCAGAAGCAUCACCUUCUGCAACAGAUGCCCUGGUUGGCCAGAACCAGUCCUGGAAGGCAGAGAGGAGGAAGAGGACAGGCUCCCUUCCUGCUGGUCACCUGGAAGUCAUGGCCAUGGUGUAGUGCCCCUGUGCUCAAGGAAAACACACAGAAGGACCGGAAUCUGUGCUGGAGGUGUUCAUGAGAUGGUGGUACCCAACCACACCUCUGGUGCUUGCAAGAUUCCCAAACCACUAUCAGCAAGAGGGAUCCAUGCAUGGAAGCUCAGAAAAGUAGGAUACUGCCCUUAACAUACCACAUCCCAAGGGAUGAUGUCCCUGGGGAUAAGGAUGAUGGUGUGGAUCUCUGCUCAUGCAGCCACAGCAGGUAUGGACUGCAGGCUGCUAAACAGCACAAGUGACUGUGUCUAUCGCGCCUUGGCUGCGCCAGGUCUGUGCAGGGGGACUGUUAUUUAUUAAUGGCUGGCAAGAGCUGCUGGAACAGAGGUAGAGCUCAAACUUCUAUUCUUGCCUGUCCUCCAUCACUUGUGCUCAUAUCUUUCUCAGGCUCACUCCUUUUGUGUUGAAAUUUUCCAUGCUUGGUCUUAGCCCAGUGACACAUUUUUGCUGAAGGUAUGGACUGUGCUCGUUGGAGUCCUCUUUGUAGAGCUCCUUGCUAAUCUCUGCCUUGUGCUAAAGGUCCAUCUUUCAUGUCUCAGGAGACAUCAGGCUGAAGAAAAUCCUUAGAGGAUGGAUCCUACUUUAUUUGCUUGUUUAUUAUUUGAGAAAGUUACUUAAGAUCUUACAUUUCAGUCAACUAGAACUUAAAAGGAAAUCUCUUGUUUAGAUCUUCCCCAGUGGAAAACUAAGCAGCUCUGGCAAAAUUAAUGUUUUUCCAUGGAACAUUCAGAUUUUGUGAAAACUACACUUUCUAUUAAAAAAAAAAUAAAAAUUUAGUCAUUA